UCGGUCAAAAUAAAAACUUUUCUCAAAAUAUCUGAAUGAAAAAUAAUUGGUAAAUAAUCAUGAAUUUCUAUAUAAAAUUCCUACAAUAUUUUUCUUUUUUGGGAAGAUAUUUCAUAAUACGGAAUGAAAUAUUGGGGACUGAAUUGGCUCAGCUUUAAAUCAUAAUUAAAACUACCAAGAGUUAUUUCUACAUUAUCUCUAUACAUUCAUCUCAAAAUUCCAUCAAAAUAUCCGGUCUUCUCCAUACCAGUGUUUUUUUUGUUUUGUUUUGUUUUUUGUAAAGUGAAUCUUAAAUAUCCUUGCCUUUCCAUUUCUCAGUAGAUUAAUUUAAUUGUUGCUCCUAAUCUGUAGUUUCCUAAAUGUUUGAUAAACUGAAUUGAAAACCAUAAUAGAGAAUUAACUUCCGCUGACCUGACAGGAGGCGGAGCUCAGGCAGUAAUGCAGCACUGGGGAAUGGCAGUAAAAACAGAUGAAGCUUCUUAGCUCACCAGCCACCACUCACUUCCUGCUGUGCAGCCUGGUUCUAACAGGCCAGGAACUGGUACUGGUCCCUAACCCAGGGAACUGGGUACCUCCGAUGUAAGUGAAAGAUAUUAAUGAUUUGGUAUUGUGCCUAACACCAUUGAAAAGAGCUAGAUCCUUGACACGUAUUAGGCUUUGGCUUAAGGAAAUGUUGUGGCUUGUUUGAUCUUGUAUCCAGACCACUUAAACUCUAUAUCAGCAAUAAGGCUGCUUUGUUUGCUUACCAUUUGGUGUUCACUGGAGUAGCACUUUUAAU
rnacentral:lncRNA from 1 species